GACGAACGCUGGCGGCGUGCUUAACACAUGCAAGUCGAACGGAAAGGCCCUGCUUUUGUGGGGUGCUCGAGUGGCGAACGGGUGAGUAACACGUGAGUAACCUGCCCUUGACUUUGGGAUAACUUCAGGAAACUGGGGCUAAUACCGUAUAGGAGCUCCUGCUGCAUGGUGGGGGUUGGAAAGUUUCGGCGGUUGGGGAUGGACUCGCGGCUUAUCAGCUUGUUGGUGGGGUAGUGGCUUACCAAGGCUUUGACGGGUAGCCGGCCUGAGAGGGUGACCGGCCACAUUGGGACUGAGAUACGGCCCAGACUCCUACGGGAGGCAGCAGUGGGGAAUAUUGCACAAUGGGCGGAAGCCGGAUGCAGCAACGCCGCGUGCGGGAUGACGGCCUUCGGGUUGUAAACCGCUUUCGCCUGUGACGAAGCGUGAGUGACGGUAAUGGGUAAAGAAGCACCGGCUAACUACGUG
rnacentral:rRNA from 1 species